AGCUCCGAGCUAUCAGCACAGAGCCUGACGUGGGACUCGAACUCACGAACUGUGAGAUCAUGACCUGAGCCGAAGGUGGACGCUUAACCAACUGAGCCACCCAGGCGGCCCCAUACGUGUUUUUAAAAGAGGAUACUAUUUGGAAAAAGAUUUUGAAAAGCCCCAUGUAUAGGGGACAGUUUCUUUCUUCCUCGCAUAACACAGAAGAUUUGGAGAAAUAUUCUCAAGCUGGGUCCUCUAGAGCCUGUAGGGAGGUUUGAACCCUAUCUCUUCCCACCCUAUUCCUUUGCCAGUAGCCUUCUCCGCUCCUGUAUCGCCUAUUUCUUCAGUGCCCUGGGAAGAAAUUCUCACAAGUGCUUUCAAAGGCCUCCAUUUCAAUCCACCCACCUCCACUGAACUCUCUGCUGCUUUGGCCCCCAAGUAAAACCUUUUGAAACCUGGAAUACCACGUUCUUCCGUAGGGAAUUUUCUGUACCAAGGAUCAGGCCUACCUGAUCAAACCCCUGAAUUCAACCCCUUUCCUUUUGCUUGCGCUGUAAGUGGCCACCAGGUGGCGCCUCAGAGUCGACUGCAGUUCUGCUUUAAAGAAAAGUCUGCUUCUCCCGUGCUUAGGUUUUGCUCCAGGAAGCGAAUGCAUUCCUGAAGGGGGAAGAGACAUUCUAGUUGCAUUUUUAAUAUAGUUAAGACAUUUUUUUUUUUUUUUUUUGCCAUUUAGGUCUUCAGCUCAGCUUUCAGCCAAAUAACAAAGGAAGCACACUGUAGCCUGUGUCUUCAGCUCUACCUAGAAACCUUGGGCUCCUUGCCUUUUCCUUAAAACCUGCUCCGAGGAACAACAAACAUACCUUCGCUGACAGCCAUAAUGCAGUUACCUGCCAGGGGAUGCUUCACAGUGGAGACACCGAGGCCCAGAGAAGUAAAGUAAAUUGCCCAAGAUCACGGUGAGAGAUGCCUUUGGAGUUAACGUCGGAACCUUGUUAGUCUGACUCAGUAGCCACAUCCUGAACCGAGUAUUAAUUUUGCAGGGAAUGACCUGUGUGCCUAAGACCUGAGACACCUGCUUGGAGCAGAAGGAAGCAGAGAAACUUAAGGCUGAGAAUGUUCAUCUUGAACUUCUGCGUAGCAUUGGACAUCGUAUUACAAAGGUUCUGGCUGUUGCAGAUCCUUUUUAAAACAAGGCAUUAUGUACCUACA